ACCAGACUCCUACGGGAGGCAGCAGUGGGGGAUAUUGCACAAUGGGGGGAACCCUGAUGCAGCGACGCCGCGUGGGUGAAGAAGCGCCUCGGCGCGUAAAGCCCUGUCAGCAGGGAAGAAAAUGACGGUACCUGAAGAAGAAGCCCCGGCUAACUACGUGCCAGCAGCCGCGGUAAUACGUAGGGGGCAAGCGUUAUCCGGAUUUACUGGGUGUAAAGGGGGCGCAGACGGCGAUGCAAGCCAGGAGUGAAAGCCCGGGGCCCAACCCCGGGACUGCUCUUGGAACUGCGUGGCUGGAGUGCAGGAGGGGCAGGCGGAAUUCCUGGUGUAGCGGUGAAAUGCGUAGAUAUACGGAGGAACACCAGUGGCGAAGGCGGCCUGCUGGACAUUAACUGACGCUGAGGCGCGAAAGCGUGGGGAGCAAACAGGAUUAGAUACCCCAGUAAAG
rnacentral:rRNA from 1 species